rnacentral:rRNA from 1 species
UACGGAGGAUGCGAGCGUUAUCCGGAUUUAUUGGGUUUAAAGGGUGCGUAGGCGGCCCGUUAAGUCAGCGGUAAAAUUGCGGGGCUCAACCCCGUCGAGCCGUUGAAACUGUCAGACUUGAGUUGGCGAGAAGUACGCGGAAUGCGCGGUGUAGCGGUGAAAUGCAUAGAUAUCGCGCAGAACUCCGAUUGCGAAGGCAGCGUACCGGCGCCACACUGACGCUGAGGCACGAAAGCGUGGGGAUCGAACAGG